rnacentral:rRNA from 1 species
GAUGAACGCUGGCGGCGUGCUUAAUACAUGCAAGUCGCGCGAACGGACGAGAAGCUUUCUUUUCUGAUGUUAGCGGCGGACGGGUGAGUAACACGUGGAUAACCUACCUAUUAUACUUGGAUAACUUCGUGAAACCGGAGCUAAUACCUGAUAAUAUUUUGAACCGCAUGGUUCAAAAGUGAUAGACGGUCUUGCUGUCACUUAUAGAUGGAUCCGCGCUGCAUUAGCUAGUUGGUAAGGUAACGGCUUACCAAGGCAACGAUGCAUAGCCGACCUGAGAGGGUGAUCGGCCACACUGGAACUGAGACACGGUCCAGACUCCUACGGGAGGCAGCAGUAGGGAAUCUUCCGCAAUGGGCGAAAGCCUGACGGAGCAACGCCGCGUGAGUGAUGAAGGUCUUCGGAUCGUAAAACUCUGUUAUUAGGGAAGAACAUAUGUGUAAGUAACUGUGCACAUCUUGACGGUACCUAAUCAGAAAGCCACGGCUAACUACGUG